AGUGAACGCUGGCGGUAGGCCUAACACAUGCAAGUCGAACGGCAGCACAGUAAGAGCUUGCUCUUACGGGUGGCGAGUGGCGGACGGGUGAGGAAUACAUCGGAAUCUACUUUUUCGUGGGGGAUAACGUAGGGAAACUUACGCUAAUACCGCAUACGACCUACGGGUGAAAGCAGGGGAUCUUCGGACCUUGCGCGAUUGAAUGAGCCGAUGUCGGAUUAGCUGGUUGGCGGGGUAAAGGCCCACCAAGGCGACGAUCCGUAGCUGGUCUGAGAGGGUGGGGGGCGACAGUGGGACUGAGAUACGGCCGAGACGCCUGAGCGAGGCAGCAGGGGGGGGGAUUGCACAAUGGGCGGAAGCGUGAUGCAGCGACGUCGGGUGAGGGAGGGAGGCCGUCGGGUUGGGAACCUCUGUUUCCGGUGGUGAAGGCACUGUCCGUGUGGUGGGGUUGACGGUAGCCGGGGAUGAAGCGCCGGCUAACUACGUG
rnacentral:rRNA from 1 species